GCUGGUGUGGCUCAAAGGUAGAGCAGCUGAUUUGUAAUUAGCAGGUUGGGGGUUCGAUUCCCUCCACCAGCUCCA
rnacentral:tRNA from 1 species